GAUGAACGCUGGCGGCGUGCCUAAUACAUGCAAGUCGAACGCACAGCGAAAGGUGCUUGCACCUUUCAAGUGAGUGGCGAACGGGUGAGUAACACGUGGAUAACCUACCUCAAGGUUGGGGAUAACAUUUGGAAACAGAUGCUAAUACCGAAUAAAACUUCGUAUCGCAUGAUACAAGGUUAAAAGGCGCUACGGCGUCACCUAGAGAUGGAUCCGCGGUGCAUUAGUUAGUUGGUGGGGUAAAGGCCUACCAAGACAAUGAUGCAUAGCCGAGUUGAGAGACUGAUCGGCCACAUUGGGACUGAGACACGGCCCAAACUCCUACGGGAGGCUGCAGUAGGGAAUCUUCCACAAUGGGCGAAAGCCUGAUGGAGCAACGCCGCGUGUGUGAUGAAGGCUUUCGGGUCGUAAAGCACUGUUGUAUGGGAAGAACAGCUAGAGUAGGGAAUGACUUUAGUUUGACGGUACCAUACCAGAAAGGGACGGCUAAAUACGUGCCAGCAGCCGCGGUAAUACGUAUGUCCCGAGCGUUAUCCGGAUUUAUUGGGCGUAAAGCGAGCGCAGACGGUUGAUUAAGUCUGAUGUGAAAGCCCGGAGCUCAACUCCGGAAAGGCAUUGGAAACUGGUCAACUUGAGUGCAGUAGAGGUAAGUGGAACUCCAUGUGUAGCGGUGGAAUGCGUAGAUAUAUGGAAGAACACCAGCGGCGAAGGCGGCUUACUGGACUGUAACUGACGUUGAGGCUCGAAAGUGUGGGUAGCAAACAGGAUUAGAUACCCUGGUAGUCCACACCGUAAACGAUGAACACUAGGUGUUA
rnacentral:rRNA from 1 species